UGGGGAAUAUUGCACAAUGGGCGCAAGCCUGAUGCAGCGACGCCGCGUGAGGGAUGACGGCCUUCGGGUUGUAAACCUCUUUCAGUAUGGAACAAGGAUCCUUCUUUUGGGGGUUUGAGGGUACGUGCAGAAGAAGCGCCGGCUAACUACGUGCCAGCAGCCGCGGUAAUACGUAGGGCGCGAGCGUUGUCCGGAUUUAUUGGGCGUAAAGAGCUCGUAGGCGGUUUGUCGCGUCUGCCGUGAAAUUUCCUGGCUUAACUGGGAGCGUGCGGUGGGUACGGGCAGACUGGAGUGCGGUAGGGGAGACUGGAAUUCCUGGUGUAGCGGUGGAAUGCGCAGAUAUCAGGAGGAACACCGGUGGCGAAGGCGGGUCUCUGGGCCGUUACUGACGCUGAGGAGCGAAAGCAUGGGGAGCGAACAGGAUUAGAUACCCCCGUAGUCC
rnacentral:rRNA from 1 species